GUUGAACGCUGGCGGCAGGCCUAACACAUGCAAGUCGAGCGGAUGAAGGGAGCUUGCUCCUGGAUUCAGCGGCGGACGGGUGAGUAAUGCCUAGGAAUCUGCCUGGUAGUGGGGGAUAACGUCCGGAAACGGGCGCUAAUACCGCAUACGUCCUGAGGGAGAAAGUGGGGGAUCUUCGGACCUCACGCUACCAGAUGAGCCUAGGUCGGAUUAGCUAGUUGGUGGGGUAAAGGCCUACCAAGGCGACGAUCCGUAACUGGUCUGAGAGGAUGAUCAGUCACACUGGAACUGAGACACGGUCCAGACUCCUACGGGAGGCAGCAGUGGGGAAUAUUGGACAAUGGGCGAAAGCCUGAUCCAGCCAUGCCGCGUGUGUGAAGAAGGUCUUCGGAUUGUAAAGCACUUUAAGUUGGGAGGAAGGGCAGUAAGUUAAUACCUUGCUGUUUUGACGUUACCAACAGAAUAAGCACCGGCUAACUUCGUG
rnacentral:rRNA from 1 species